UACGUAGGCAGCAAGCGUUGUUCGGAAUUACUGGGCGUAAAGAGUGUGUAGGCGGUGCUCUAAGUUUGGUGUGAAAUCUCCCGGCUCAACUGGGAGGGUGCGCCGAAAACUGGAAUGCUUGAACAUGGGAGAGGAAAGCGGAAUUCCUGGUGUAGCGGUGAAAUGCGUAGAUAUCAGGAGGAACACCUGCGGUGUAGACGGCUUUCUGGACCAUUGUUGACGCUGAGACAGAAAGCGUGGGUAGCAAACAGG
rnacentral:rRNA from 1 species